GGAUUGAGUGCCAAUCAUACAAGGGAGUUUGUGACCAAUGGCAAGUGGUCUGAGGGUGUCAAGGAGGGAGGGCUCUGUGCAGAUUCCUUCAUAAUAGUGGGUAGGGCUUGUAGGAGAAAUAAUGAAUAGCUAGAGAGAGGAGAGGUGGUUUAAGAAGAUAUUCCAGGCAGGAAGAGAAGAAUAAUAAGCAAAGAAGCAUGCUUAUGAGAGAGGCCAUGAGUUCAGUCUCAGGUAAGAGGUGGGGUUUCAGGUCUCUGGAUUUUCCUUAAUUGUGGUCUCCCAAAACUGGCUUAGGUGUGACCCAUCUCUGCCCUCAACCCUUCUUUUGUGUUCCCAGCUCUGACUCUGACCCUGACCUUCACUCUCUCAUUAAGCCAGUACAGCUACAUAACUUCUGAGGCCAUCCAGAACCAAAGUCAUCCCCCUGAGCUCCAUGGAAAGCUGGGCAGGACAGAGGGCAGGGAUCCAGCCCCACUCCGACCCAGGCUGCAGCAUCCAGCAUUAUCCCAAGCAUCUGUUCUGCAGAGGAAGUGCAGCAGGGAGC
rnacentral:lncRNA from 1 species